AGAAAUAAAGAGAGAUCCUUCCGUCCAAUCAUAAUUCACGAGGACCCCAUCGCUAUGGCAAUGGUUGCCUAGUGACCGAUAAAGCCCUGACCCCCCCUUCCUCUCGCAUUGUUGUGACCUUUCAGAGUCCAGCCGAUGUGGAAUCCCAGGGUUCAUAGUGCUUUCAGACUGUCUGCUACCUUUGAGUGUCCGAAGUGAGAGCUCACAUCCAUCUUCUGACCAGAAGGGGGCGUAAGUAGGGAGCAUGUAACCAGAGAAUGAAAGACAGCG
rnacentral:lncRNA from 1 species